AACCCAUCACUCAGAACGUCAGUGCCGAGGCCUGGGGCAGAGCAGACUGUGGCUUCACCUCGGUGUCCUAUCAGCAAGGGCUCCUGUCUGCCACUGUCCUCUAUGAGAUCCUGCUGGGGAAGGCCACCCUGUAUGCA